GUUUCUGAAUGCACUUGAAAUUGAUAUUUAUUCUGUGUCAACAAAUCUUAUCUAAUUAUAAAACGGUUGGCUCCAGGUUUACUCUCUUAAGCACGAUAUAACAGAUGUAAAGUGCCUUAUGCCAGGCUUACUACUGGCCAUCAGGAGAGUAGUGCGGCUCAAGAAUCUGGUGUAUGGCUUGGAGAAGUUUCUGUAGAGACUCAAUCUUCUUCAGCCUCGUCUAAUCGAAGAGAAGACAGCACAGAGGA